rnacentral:rRNA from 1 species
AUUGAACGCUGGCGGCAGGCCUAACACAUGCAAGUCGAACGGUAACAGGAAACAGCUUGCUGUUUCGCUGACGAGUGGCGGACGGGUGAGUAAUGUCUGGGAAACUGCCUGAUGGAGGGGGAUAACUACUGGAAACGGUAGCUAAUACCGCAUAACGUCGCAAGCCCAAAGAGGGGGACCUUCGGGCCUCUUGCCAUCGGAUGUGCCCAGAUGGGAUUAGCUAGUAGGUGGGGUAACGGCUCACCUAGGCGACGAUCCCUAGCUGGUCUGAGAGGAUGACCAGCCACACUGGAACUGAGACACGGUCCAGACUCCUACGGGAGGCAGCAGUGGGGAAUAUUGCACAAAGGGCGCAAGCCUGAUGCAGCCAUGCCGCGUGUAUGAAGAAGGCCUUCGGGUUGUAAAGUACUUUCAGCGGGGAUGAAGGGAGUAAAGUUAAUACCUUUGCUCAUUGACGUUACCCGCAGAAGAAGCACCGGCUAACUCCGUG